AUUGAACGCUGGCGGCAGGCCUAACACAUGCAAGUCGAACGGUAACAGGAAGAAGCUUGCUUCUUUGCUGACGAGUGGCGGACGGGUGAGUAAUGUCUGGGAAACUGCCUGAUGGAGGGGGAUAACUACUGGAAACGGUAGCUAAUACCGCAUAACGUCGCAAGACCAAAAAGGGGGACCUUCGGGCCUCUUGCCAUCGGAUGUGCCCAGAUGGGAUUAGCUAGUAGGUGGGGUAACGGCUCACCUAGGCGACGAUCCCUAGCUGGUCUGAGAGGAUGACCAGCCACACUGGAACUGAGACACGGUCCAGACUCCUACGGGAGGCAGCAGUGGGGAAUAUUGCACAAUGGGCGCAAGCCUGAUGCAGCCAUGCCGCGUGUAUGAAGAAGGCCUUCGGGUUGUAAAGUACUUUCAGCGGGGAGGAAGAGAGUAAAGUUAAUACCUUUACUCAUUGACGUUACCCGCAGAAGAAGCACCGGCUAACUCCGUG
rnacentral:rRNA from 1 species